UGAAUACUCCCUUAUUGCACUGUGUUUUGUCUGCAUGCGAACCCCCUCAGCCUCGACGCUGCUGCUGAUUUCUUGCCAGGUCCACUCCCCUGCGCUCUUACUGCCUCCCCUCUGGCCCCGCUAAAUCUGCGCUCCCCAGCUUCUUCCUUGUUAAGUCUGGGUGGGACCCAGCCUGAUGGCUCUGGAGGCACGCAGACCUUGGCAGACAGAGUGUGGGGGCUCUCGAGAUCCGGGUCGGGGGUAGGGUAAGGCAGGUCUCCGAAUUUGGGGAGCAAAGCUGAGGCCAAAGCCACAGAACACGAGGUGGGCGGGGAGGAGCGGUGCUGAGAUGAUGGGCCCCAGGGCAGGGCUGAUGGGGGGUCCAGAGACCCCUCCCAGGCAUAGGAGGAAACAGAUACACAUCAGCCGCCCAGAUGAGAAGAGGGAGCCCCGUCCCAGGGUCUGAAAAUGCAACGGGAAAACCAGGACGGGCCCCUGAGCUCCCACCUGCCUUCCUGCCAGCUGCCAUGUGCCCUCUGCAGCCCUGCUGCUGAACUGACCCCGGGCCAAACCAAAGCUGGAGGUGGGUAGGUGGGACCCCGGGGCCCAGCAUGGGGCAGCACCUGGCCUGGGUCCUGCAGCAUCUGAGCCAAGAGACAUGGAGGGCAGGGAGUGGUGCCCCUGUGCUCUGCCCUGUGGCCAUCUCCCUGCCCUCCCCUCUGCCUCAGGGAGCGUGGGAGAGUUUCUGACAACAUCCCAGGUUCCAGAAACCUGAGCCAAUAGGAGCUGCUCAGCUGCUCCCAGGGCCAGGCUGCCUCUGCACCUGUCUUCAGGUGACUCUGCUCCUCCUAAGUCCGAGGAACAGGAACAGGUACCGGCGCUGGGCCCGCUCUGAGUGCUCUGCGGGGCUUAGCCCGGGCAUCCUCCACCGCUCUGUGAGAUAGGAAGCUUGCCGAGCACAGACAGCUGGUAAGUAGCGUCAGGAUUUGAACCCAGGCACUGCCGACAGAGACCUCCACCACGAAGCAAGACAGGUCGGAAGGGCAGAGCCAGUGAGGCCCUUAGAAGUCACCUCCUCCAGCGCCUACAUUUCACAGCCAGAGAAGCAGACCCAAAGAGGAGAAGAGACGCAGCGAAGGAAACUCAGUGAUCUAUUGGAGCCAGCCCAGACCCUGGACUCAGAAAGUUAGAGCUGCUGGGCAGAAAUGGGCACCCCAGAUUGUCUCACCCACUCCCACCCCUAGGUACCUAGCCAUGCGGUGCUCGGUCUUCUCAUCUGUUUCCCCCUUUCCCAUCUCCUCCCGUCACGCCCAAGCCUCCAGCUGCAGCUCCCUCAGCCUCGCGGACUCAGCUCUGCCCCUGGCCGUGCCCUGCUGCCUUUGCUAAGCCCCCUCUUCCACCGCCCUCGCUCUGGAAAUGCAGGGUCUUUCUGCUGGAGGUGGGGCUUCCCCACAGCUACCUGUUUACCCUGCGGUAUGAGUCGUCAGCACUCUGGAAAUGUUGAAGUCAUGGAGGAGGGGAAGGAAGUGGGGGAAAUAGGAGUGUAGGCAGGGAGCUUUUUAUAGGCCCUUUGCAGAGCUGGCCUCCAGCUCACUGUUUCUUCAGGAACAUGGCAAUCAAUGUGUUACGUAGAACUCGGCUGGCUUGCUGACCGCUGGUGCCUGGGACAUCGAGAGAGGUGAAAGCACUGGAAAAAAAAAAAAAAGAGGAGAAAAUUAUUUUCCUGCUCGUAGAUCUCA